AAUUACAAGCGAAAGCAUAAAAUUCAAAGGACUUGACGGUACUUCACAUCAACCUAGAGGAGCCUGUCCUAUAAUCGAUAACCCACGUUUUACCUCACCUACUCUUGCAAGAUCAGCCUGUAUACCGCCGUCGCCAGCCCAUCUAAUGAUAGAAUAAAAAUGGACAAAACUGUAUAACUACAAAAACGUCAGGUCAAGGUGCAGCUAAUGAGUCGGCUGAGAUGGGCUACAUUUUUUAACUUAAAAAACUACUACAAGCAACAUGAAACACUGAGCUACCAAGGUGGAUUUAGCAGUAAAUGUGUGCAAGACAUGCCACAUUGAAACCCGUUCUGAAGUGCGUACACACCGCCAAUUACAAGCGAAAGCAUAAAAUUCAAAGGACUUGACGGUACUUCACAUCAACCUAGAGGAGCCUGUCCUAUAAUCGAUAACCCACGUUUUACCUCACCUACUCUUGCAAAAUCAGCCUGUAUACCGCCGUCGCCAGCCCAUCUAAUGAUAGAAUAAAAAUGGACAAAACUGUAUAACUACAAAAACGUCAGGUCAAGGUGCAGCUAAUGAGUGGGCUGAGAUGGGCUACAUUUUUUAACUUAAAAAACUACUACCAGCUACAUGAAACACUGAGCUACCAAGGUGGAUUUAGCAGUAAAUAUGUGCAAGACAUGCCACAUUGAAACUCGUUCUGAAGUGCGUACACACCGCC
rnacentral:rRNA from 1 species